rnacentral:rRNA from 1 species
GUCUAUGGCCAUACCACCCUGAACAUGCCCAGUUUCGUCUGAUCUCGGAAGCUAAGCAGGGUCGGGCCUGGUUAGGACUUGGAAGGGAGAAAAUAAAUGCUUUAUAAA